rnacentral:rRNA from 1 species
UACGUAGGGGGCAAGCGUUGUCCGGAAUCAUUGGGCGUAAAGAGCGUGUAGGCGGCCCGAUAAGUCCGCUGUGAAAGUCCAGGGCUCAACCCUGGAAUGCCGGUGGAUACUGUCGGGCUCGAAUCCGGAAGAGGUGAGUGGAAUUCCUGGUGUAGCGGUGAAAUGCGCAGAUAUCAGGAGGAACACCGAUGGCGAAGGCACUCUGCUGGGCCGACACUGACACUGAGAGACGAAAGCUAGGGGAGCAAAUGGG